rnacentral:rRNA from 1 species
GCAAUAAGCACUCCGCCUGGGGAGUACGACCGCAAGGUUGAAACUCAAAGGAAUUGACGGGGGCCCGCACAAGCGGUGGAGCAUGUGGUUUAAUUCGAAGCAACGCGAAGAACCUUACCAGGUCUUGACAUCCCGAUGCUAUUCUUAGAGAUAGGAAGUUACUUCGGUACAUCGGAGACAGGUGGUGCAUGGUUGUCGUCAGCUCGUGUCGUGAGAUGUUGGGUNNNNNNNNAAAANNNNNCGCAACCCUUAUUGUUAGUUGCCAUCAUUAAGUUGGGCACUCUAGCGAGACUGCCGGUAAUAAACCGGAGGAAGGUGGGGAUGACGUCAAAUCAUCAUGCCCCUUAUGACCUGGGCUACACACGUGCUACAAUGGUCGGUACAACGAGUUGCGAGCCGGUGACGGCAAGCUAAUCUCUUAAAGCCAAUCUCAGUUCGGAUUGUAGGCUGCAACU